rnacentral:rRNA from 1 species
CAGCCGCCGCGGUAAUACGAAGGGUGCAAGCGUUACUCGGAAUUACUGGGCGUAAAGCGUGCGUAGGUGGUGGUUUAAGUCCGUUGUGAAAGCCCUGGGCUCAACCUGGGAAUUGCAGUGGAUACUGGGUCACUAGAGUGUGGUAGAGGAUAGUGGAAUUUCCGGUGUAGCAGUGAAAUGCGUAGAGAUCGGAAGGAACAUCUGUGGCGAAGGCGACUAUCUGGGCCAACACUGACACUGAGGCACGAAAGCGUGGGGGGCAAACAGGAUUAGAUACCCCCGUAGUCCCUGUCUCUUAUAC